CAAUAAAGCGGGGAAAAAUAAUAACCUUAAAUCACUUUUAAACGUGAAAUUGGAACGCUAAUGACAACAAUUGAUUAAACAUAUCAUAAAUUAACACUUUCUAACAUGUUGAUGUAUUUUUGUGGCCGGCUGGCACAAUAAAAACAAUAUCAAGAUAAAUAAUGUUUUCAAUUUGCAUGUAUAUUAAUAUGCGAUUAUUCGCGAUACGAACAUAUCCGAAGAUUUUGUGUUUAUUGGAAAAUAUUCGCAAUCGCCGAAAGGCAGUUCAUUUAAGGAACGGAAAUUGAUGUGUAAAUACUUAAGCAAUGACGGAUCAACAACCUAGUGGCCAUAAAACAGCGACUAACGUACGAUCAUUAUUGUACAACCCUUGCAAAAUGGCACCUUGUCCUCACAUCGUGUAUCGACAGAACUCCACGUUUUAGCCUUGUAAUCAUGAGCUUUGAAACCAAGCAAAUUACGUGCUUGUGCAAUUUGUUGUUUCAUUGUUUAAACUAAUAGAUAAGCGCAAAAAUGCUCGUAUGCUUUGUAUAAUUAAAGACACUUAAAGUAUUAUGGCACAGACUAACAUGCUGUUUUGUGAAAAUCCCCCUUUCAUUCCUUAACAUUUUUAUUUGUCACAUGUUAACUGAAAAUGAACCAUAAAAAACCCCUUUUUGUCAAGCUGAUAACGAAAUAUGUCUUCCGUUUACAAAUGUUUGGGUAGAUCGCCAUAGUAAUUUUGGCUGCCGGGUUAUAUAAUCACACUGCUGAUCCCAGACGGAUACCGCUGCGGAUAUUUUGCACAAAUACUUUAAGAUGAAGCAGUUCCUUGUUUGCUGUUUGGUCGUAAUGCUGCUUUGGACAGCACCAGUACAGAGUGCUUCUACUACCGUUACUACCACCACUGCUCCCGUUACUACAACUGGAGGGAACACUGGGACACCCACCACGCCUUUGACAGCAUUUUGGCUCGUUUUGGCUGCCCUACUACCCAUUCUACAGGCAUACCUUAUGUAAAAGGAUAACAUGAGUAGAAAUGGUUCUAUUCCUUCCCCUUGCCAGAUCGGACCUUAAAUAAAGCACACCGCUUUCCUUGUGAUUUUGACCGAAUGUUUUAAAUCAUGAUAACGCAAUGAAACUACUCGCUUGAAUCUCUAGUAGGAUAUAAUUAUUGCCUUGCCUGGUAUAAAAAAUGUUUAUUAUGUGUGCGAACCCACACCGGUAAAGUCAAGAAAGUUAUAUGUCUUUCUUUCUUUCUUUGACUGUACCAACAAAUGUAUUUUUCAGCGAUUUUGAUGUCAAACUGUAAAACUAAGUAAUAAUAUAAAUGUUUUUAGAGUAACAAACCUAAUUUGACUGGACGUUUAUCUCCAAAUUUUCCCACUUUUGUUGAACACUUCAUUUACGUUGGUACGACUUGUUGUUCUUUACAUUAUUUAAUGCCCGAUUCAGAUCUUUAUUAUUUUUGUGCAUAAUAUGACGAAAACAAUGAUCUGUUUUUUGAAAUUUCAACAAUAUACCAAUAACGCGUUUGUAUAUUUGCUCUUUCUUGUUUUUCGUUUCUUAAGGAUGUUUCUUAAUAAAAUAGCCCAUAAGUAGAUAUAUGUUAAUCAAUUGUUUGAGUAGUUAGCUUGUGUCUUACACCGUCUCAGAAUGAACGCUUUUGAGUUAGUAUUAGGUAAUGUUCUAAAUACAUCCUAUUUUCACAUGGACAAAACAACAAUGACACCCCACUCAAUAGCUAUAUUUUUGCUGGUAAAUUGAUAAUAAAUAUAGUUUACAAAAAACAUAUAUAACGUUCACCGAUAAACACAUUAACCAACCGUU